rnacentral:rRNA from 1 species
UACGUAGGGAGCAAGCGUUGUCCGGAAUCAUUGGGCGUAAAGCGCGCGUAGGCGGCCUCAUAAGUCCGUUGUGAAAGUCAAAGGCUCAACCUUUGAAAGCCGAUGGAUACUGUGAGGCUAGAGUCCGGAAGAGGCGAGUGGAAUUCCUGGUGUAGCGGUGGAAUGCGCAGAUAUCAGGAGGAACACCAAUAGCGAAGGCAGCUCGCUGGGACGGUAUUGACGCUGAGGCGCGAAAGCGUGGGGAGCAAACAGG